rnacentral:lncRNA from 1 species
AUUCUGACUUCCAAAUCUCUUGCAAAUGCAUAUAAUUGGUUGAACCUAAUUCACAGUUAGAACCCCAGCUGCAAGUGAGACUGGAAAAAUGGCUCUCAGAGUUCCCGCCUCUGCAGUAGAGGAAGACACUCCAGAAGGAGUUGAGAAUGGGUGCUGAGUGCCUCUUCAGGAUGUCUGUCACACCUCAGGAAACCUGCCAGGAAUACCAAAGGGAGUGAAAAAUCCAAGGAAUACUUGUCAUUGAAAUUAGGGCCCACCUGGAUAAUCCAUGAUGAUCUCAUCUCAAGAUCCUUAACUUAAUGACAUCUGCAGAGACUGGUUUAUCAAAUAAGGGACUGUGGCUAUAUCGCUGACCUCAAGAAAACCUGCGGACAAAAUCUGCUAAAGAAGUAUCAGCAUCUAUUUCAAAAGUUAGCCAUUAUUUUAAGAAGACUGUGCUGGAAGACGGGUAUUUAACACAAACAGAUGCAAAAGAUACGGGGUUUCACCGUGUUGACCAGACUGAUUUUGAACUUCUGGGCUCAAUCAGUCCACCUGCCUCGGCCUCCCAAAGUGCUGAGAUUAUAGGUGUGAGCCCCUGCGCCUGGCCAGGGAUGCCGUUCUUCACUCUCCAAUUGAGCAGCCAUUAUAUAUCAGGCACUAUAGGAGUUCCUGGAGGAUACUGGUCUGAAGUUAGCAUGAUCUUGACUCAAGAAACUUAUAGUCCUGAUAAGAACUUCCACCAGAAUUCCAGAUGCAGCACAGGCCUUGCUGUUUGCCCAUGCCCAUGCGGUCAGCUCUCUUGGGUACCGUGGCAUGCAGAUGCAGACACUCACCCAAGACACCCUGUAGUGCUGAUUACUGGCUGAAGACACUGAAUAUCUGAUAUAGUUUGGAUGUUUGACCCCUCCAAAUCUCAUGUUGAAACUAGAUUCCCAGUGUUGGAGGUGGGGCCCGGUGGGAGGUGUUUGGAUUGUGGGAUUGGAUCCCUUAUGGCCAUCUUGGUGCCAUCCUUGUGGUAAUGAGCAAGUUCUUUAUCUACUAGUUCCUGAGCGAUCUGGUUGCUAAAAAGAGUCUAGCAGCAUCAUCCGCUCCCUCUCCUCCUCUCUUACCAUGUGAUAUGCACACACCGGCUACCCUUCACCUACUGCUCCAGCACCACGCUUCAUGUACAGCCUGUAGAACUCUGAGCCAAAUAAACCUCUUUUCUUUAUAAA